UCCUCCGUGGCGCAAUUGGCUAGCGCGUUCGACUGUUAUAAUGACAGGAUAUCGAGAGGUUGACAGUUCAAGCCUGUCCGGGGGAG
rnacentral:tRNA from 1 species